rnacentral:rRNA from 1 species
GGUUAAGCGACUAAGCGUACACGGUGGAUGCCCUGGCAGUCAGAGGCGAUGAAGGACGUGCUAAUCUGCGAAAAGCGUCGGUAAGGUGAUAUGAACCGUUAUAGCCGGCGAUGUCCGAAUGGGGAAACCCAGUGCAAUUCGUUGCACUAUCGUUAACUGAAUACAUAGGUUAACGAGGCGAACCGGGGGAACUGAAACAUCUAAGUACCCCGAGGAAAAGAAAUCAACCGAGAUUCCCCCAGUAGCGGCGAGCGAACGGGGAGCAGCCCGGAGUCUGAAUCAGCUUGUGUGUUAGUGGAAGCGUCUGGAAAGUCGCAGGGUACAGGGUGAUACUCCCGUACACUAAAACACACAGGUUGUGAACUCGAAGAGUAGGGCGGGACACGUGGUAUCCUGUCUGAAUAUGGGGGGACCAUCCUCCAAGGCUAAAUACUCCUGACUGACCGAUAGUGAACCAGUACCGUGAGGGAAAGGCGAAAAGAACCCCGGCGAGGGGAGUGAAAAAGAACCUGAAACCGUGUACGUACAAGCAGUAGGAGCCCACUAGUUGGGUGACUGCGUACCUUUUGUAUAAUGGGUCAGCGACUUAUAUUCUGUAGCAAGGUUAACCGUAUAGGGGAGCCGCAGGGAAACCGAGUCUUAACUGGGCGUUAAGUUGCAGGGUAUAGACCCGAAACCGGUGAUCUAGCCAUGGGCAGGUUGAAGGUUGGGUAACACUAACUGGAGGACCGAACCGACUAAUGUUGAAAAAUUAGCGGAUGACUUGUGGCUGGGGGUGAAAGGCCAAUCAAACCGGGAGAUAGCUGGUUCUCCCCGAAAGCUAUUUAGGUAGCGCCUCGUGAAUUCAUCUUCGGGGGUAGAGCACUGUUUCGGCUAGGGGGUCAUCCCGACUUACCAACCCGAUGCAAACUACGAAUACCGAAGAAUGUUAUCACGGGAGACACACGGCGGGUGCUAACGUCCGUCGUGAAGAGGGAAACAACCCAGACCGCCAGCUAAGGUCCCAAAGUCAUGGUUAAGUGGGAAACGAUGUGGGAAGGCCCAGACAGCCAGGAUGUUGGCUUAGAAGCAGCCAUCAUUUAAAGAAAGCGUAAUAGCUCACUGGUCGAGUCGGCCUGCGCGGAAGAUGUAACGGGGCUAAACCAUGCACCGAAGCUGCGGCAGCGACACUAUGUGUUGUUGGGUAGGGGAGCGUUCUGUAAGCCGUUGAAGGUGGCCUGUGAGGGUUGCUGGAGGUAUCAGAAGUGCGAAUGCUGACAUAAGUAACGAUAAUGCGGGUGAAAAACCCGCACGCCGGAAGACCAAGGGUUCCUGUCCAACGUUAAUCGGGGCAGGGUGAGUCGACCCCUAAGGCGAGGCCGAAAGGCGUAGUCGAUGGGAAACAGGUUAAUAUUCCUGUACUCGGUGUUACUGCGAAGGGGGACGGAGAAGGCUAUGUUGGCCGGGCGACGGUUGUCCCGGUUUAAGCAUGUAGGCGGAUGUUCCAGGUAAAUCCGGAACGUUAUUAACGCUGAGGUGUGAUGACGAGGCACUACGGUGCUGAAGUGACAAAUGCCCUGCUUCCAGGAAAAGCCUCUAAGCAUCAGGUAACAUCAAAUCGUACCCCAAACCGACACAGGUGGUCAGGUAGAGAAUACCAAGGCGCUUGAGAGAACUCGGGUGAAGGAACUAGGCAAAAUGGUGCCGUAACUUCGGGAGAAGGCACGCUGAUGGUAGGUGAAGUGACUUGCUCAUGGAGCUGAAAUCAGUCGAAGAUACCAGCUGGCUGCAACUGUUUAUUAAAAACACAGCACUGUGCAAACACGAAAGUGGACGUAUACGGUGUGACGCCUGCCCGGUGCCGGAAGGUUAAUUGAUGGGUUAUCCUCGCGGAGAAGCUCUUGAUCGAAGCCCCGGUAAACGGCGGCCGUAACUAUAACGGUCCUAAGGUAGCGAAAUUCCUUGUCGGGUAAGUUCCGACCUGCACGAAUGGCGUAAUGAUGGCCAGGCUGUCUCCACCCGAGACUCAGUGAAAUUGAACUCGCUGUGAAGAUGCAGUGUACCCGCGGCAAGACGGAAAGACCCCGUGAACCUUUACUAUAGCUUGACACUGAACACUGGUCCUUGAUGUGUAGGAUAGGUGGGAGGCUUUGAAGUGUGGACGCCAGUCUGCAUGGAGCCAUCCUUGAAAUACCACCCUUUAAUGGCUGGUGUUCUAACGUGGGCCCGUGAUCCGGGUUGCGGACAGUGUCUGGUGGGUAGUUUGACUGGGGCGGUCUCCUCCUAAAGAGUAACGGAGGAGCACGAAGGUCAGCUAAUCCUGGUCGGACAUCAGGAGGUUAGUGCAAUGGCAUAAGCUGGCUUGACUGCGAGCGUGACGGCGCGAGCAGGUGCGAAAGCAGGUCAUAGUGAUCCGGUGGUUCUGAAUGGAAGGGCCAUCGCUCAACGGAUAAAAGGUACUCCGGGGAUAACAGGCUGAUACCGCCCAAGAGUUCAUAUCGACGGCGGUGUUUGGCACCUCGAUGUCGGCUCAUCACAUCCUGGGGCUGAAGUAGGUCCCAAGGGUAUGGCUGUUCGCCAUUUAAAGUGGUACGCGAGCUGGGUUUAGAACGUCGUGAGACAGUUCGGUCCCUAUCUGCCGUGGGCGCUGGAGAAUUGAGGGGGGCUGCUCCUAGUACGAGAGGACCGGAGUGGACGCAUCACUGGUGUUCGGGUUGUCAUGCCAAUGGCAUUGCCCGGUAGCUAAAUGCGGAAGAGAUAAGUGCUGAAAGCAUCUAAGCACGAAACUUGCCCCGAGAUGAGUUCUCCCUGACUCCUUGAGAGUCCUGAAGGAACGUUGAAGACGACGACGUUGAUAGGCCGGGUGUGUAAGCGCAGCGAUGCGUUGAGCUAACCGGUACUAAUGAACCGUGAGGCUUAACCUU